rnacentral:ncRNA from 1 species
UUCUCCCCGAAAGCUAUUUAGGUAGCGCCUCAUAUGUAUCCUCUCGGGGGUAGAGCACUGUUAUGGCUAGGGGGUCAUCGCGACUUACCAAACCAUUGCAAACUCCGAAUACCGAGACGGACUGUAUGGGAGACACACGGCGGGUGCUAACGUCCGUCGUGAAAAGGGAAACAACCCAGACCCACAGCUAAGGUCCCAAAUUCACUGCUAAGUGGGAAACCAUGUGGGAAGGCACAGACAGCCAGGAGGUUGGCUUAGAAGCAGCCACCCUUUAAAGAAAGCGUAAUAGCUCACUGGUCGAGUCGGUCUGCGGGGAAGAUUUAACGGGGCUAAGCAGUGAACCGAAGCUUGGGGUGCAUAACUUUGUUAUGCGCGGUAGAGGAGCGUUCCGUAAGCCGUUGAAGGUGGAUUGAGAAGUCUGCUGGAGGUAUCGGAAGUG